GCUCUAGUCCAGUUGUCAGACGUCUCUGUUGGGAGACCCCCCUAAAGAAGUGAAGUUGCCUUCCAAUCCAUAUCUAAACCUGGCUAGUGUGCUUCCUGGAGUGGUAUUACAAGCACCCUGCAACAGUAAACCUCAGACUGUGCAGGCGCACACUGGGACGUACAGCGCAGUCCUGCCACCUAACACCCAUCCAUCCAGUCAAUACAGCACAGAGACCACUCCUGCAGAAUACACUCACCAAUACACUCAGCAAUACUCACAGGAGGCUAUGCAGCAGUGGUACCAACACUACCAAGCACAGACCUACGGCAACACUAGCCAAGAGACUGCUGCAGUUACUGAAAACACAAAAGAGCAACCUCAGGUGGUGGUCACCUCCUCAUACGGAGACUACAGUUCAUACAUGCAUGCUGUCAGUCAGUACUAUUCUCAGACGCAGAUGAACCAGACAGCUGCUCAAGUCUACCAGCACCGAGAUGUCAGCAAGGAGGUGGAGGUGGUGAAGUCCCCCUUGAGUGGGCCUCUGCACACCUCUCUGAACGGCACUGCUCAGACCCUGCUGCCCACCUACAGUGCCCUACCCAUCAUGCCUGGCUUCAUCACACCAACACACACGCACACACACGUGCCCAGUCCUGCCGCACACACACCCGCCGCAGCCACGGCCACCGACUGGAACAACUAUUAUUAUAGUCAGGCUAGAGGGCAGAAGCGAGAAUACCCCACACUGCCUACACAGGAAGUGACAUCAGAGUAUGUAGGCCAGCACUCACAGGGUCUUGGGGGCCAGUAUGCCGACUACUUCAAGAAGAAGAGGAUCUAA
rnacentral:lncRNA from 1 species